UGUGAGGCAACUGGUCACAUUAUGUCCCCAGUCACCAGAGAGGGAUGAAGGGAGGACCUCUGCUACUUCUCCUUUUUCUUAGCUUCAGGAUCCCCUCCCAUGGGACGGGGCCAUCUGAAUUCAGAGUGCAUCUUCCCAUCCUCAGAUGCACCCAGAGGUGCGUUUCCAUGGUGACUCUAAAUCCAGUCAAGGUGACCGAAGAGUACACUUCAGGGGGGCAGAGAGUUUGUUUAGCACUACAUGCUCAGGACUUAAAACGGUACAUGGAAGAUACCACAAUUUGCUGAUCGAGUGAAGGUUCUUUCUUUUUUUCCUGUUUUUUAAGGUACUGAAAUGUGCAUUGGUCUCUGGAGGAUCCGGUACACGUCCCUCUUCCCCUUGACAUUUUUUACUGAUGACUAAGAUGAUAACGUUGAUGGCAUGCUAAGCAAAUAGACAGAUGACAUACAAGUAGGGGGGUAGUCACUUAAUGGAUUCAGUCAGGAUCCCCUCUACCCCAGUGCUGACGGAUUGUAGUGAAUCAUCUGGCAAUAUGAAGUUAAUGGGUACAAGUAUCAAGCCUCAAAGAUCCCUGAAUCCAAUUAAACAGGUACAGAGUGGGCGAGCGAUGACUUGCAAGCACACACGUCAGGAAGAUUUAGAGCCUCCUGUUGAUUGUAGAUGAAAAGAAGAAAUGAAUGUAACCACACGGAUGCACCUGAAACAUCAUCUCAGUAUGUUUCACAAGAAGGAAAACAAGAGCUGUCUGGGUAGUCUGAUGGCAAGAGGCAGAGGAUGUGGCUCUCAGCUCCUGCUCUAAUGCUGUGCCUGCCUGCCGCUGUGUUCUCCGCUAUGAUAUGAUUUCAUGGACUAAACUAACCGUCUGAAACUCAGGAAUGCUCAAGUCCCAGCAGAUGAGCUGAUAAGAAGCAAAUGAACUCAUCUCUUACCAUGUGGAAGGCCCAUGUUCCCUAUAGAGAAUUGCAGAGUGAAACCCGUUACUGGACUCGUCAACAAACUAAAAAACAAAAACAGAAAUGCUGUCAGAGACAGUAGGGAACAGCUACUUAUUCCUAAUCCUUAAUGUUAAUUUCACUAAAUCUUUGUGUUACAAAAAGACAAACAUGAUAUGUACUCACUCAUAUGUGGAUUUUAGACAUAGAGUAAAGAAUUACCAGCCUGCAAUCCACACUGCCAGAGAAGCUAGUAAACAAGGAGGACCCUAAGA